rnacentral:rRNA from 1 species
ACGAACGCUGGCGGCGUGCUUAACACAUGCAAGUCGAACGGAUAGGCCCUGCUUUUGUGGGGUGCUCGAGUGGCGAACGGGUGAGUAACACGUGAGUAACCUGCCCUUGACUUUGGGAUAACUUCAGGAAACUGGGGCUAAUACCGGAUAGGAGCUCCUGCUGCAUGGUGGGGGUUGGAAAGUUUCGGCGGUUGGGGAUGGACUCGCGGCUUAUCAGCUUGUUGGUGGGGUAGUGGCUUACCAAGGCUUUGACGGGUAGCCGGCCUGAGAGGGUGACCGGCCACAUUGGGACUGAGAUACGGCCCAGACUCCUACGGGAGGCAGCAGUGGGGAAUAUUGCACAAUGGGCGGAAGCCUGAUGCAGCAACGCCGCGUGCGGGAUGACGGCCUUCGGGUUGUAAACCGCUUUCGCCUGUGACGAAGCGUGAGUGACGGUAAUGGGUAAAGAAGCACCGGCUAACUACGUG